GGGAAGUCUGUGUGUUUAUAGCAUUAAACGCUCAAAUAUCGUCACAAACCCCAUUUCGCCUCCAACCAUGAAAAACACUCACUAAAGCAUUGCAAGCAUUUUAUUUGGUGUUGCACAAUGUAACCUAUUCAAUCCCAUUUAGACGUGGAGAGUCAGACUACAGGUACUCUCUCUAUGCUGAGCAGGAAAAUGCAGGUGGAUGCCCCACUGGUUGCUUGGAUCACUGACUAUUUAACAAGUCGACCACAGCAUGUUCGGCUGAAGAGCUGCCGCUCGGAUAACAGGGGCGCCGCAGGUGACUGUCCUAUUACCCUUCCUCUUCACCCUCUACACAUCUGACUUCAGGUACAAGUCUCAGUGAUGUCAUCUGCAG
ensembl:lncRNA